UACGUAGGGCGCAAGCGUUGUCCGGAAUUAUUGGGCGUAAAGAGCUCGUAGGCGGUUUGUCGCGUCUGCUGUGAAAACUCGAGGCUCAACCUCGGGCUUGCAGUGGGUACGGGCAGACUAGAGUGCGGUAGGGGUGACUGGAAUUCCUGGUGUAGCGGUGGAAUGCGCAGAUAUCAGGAAGAACACCUAUGGCGAAGGCAGGUCUCUGGGCCGAUACUGACGCUGGAGGAAGCGAAAGCCGUGGGGAGCGAACAGG
rnacentral:rRNA from 1 species